AUGAAAAUAACAAGAGAAAAGGAAAUAAACUUCCACCCCUCUCUCCCACGCUACCUCUCUUCCGCCGCCGCCACCUCCCAUCCAAGAUCCUCUGGCUCUGUCGUGCAUUCCACCGGAGGAAGGGCCCCUUCCGAGACCCGCUUCUCCGCUGAGUCAGUUCGUGUGGGAGCCGUUGUCGUCCUCUCCCCUCAGUGCGCGGCGCCAGAGAGAGCGACAAGGAGGUCCAGCAGUCCAUGCCGCCAUCGUCCUACCUCGUUGUGUGGCGUCGAAGAGAAGGACGAGGAGGUUGAGCAGUCCGUGCUGUCUUCGCCAUCGCCUGAUCUGGUUAAAGUUGGAGCCACAAACUGGUGGAACCUCCCCCAGCUCCCCGCCCUCGCCCACAAGGACAAAGACUAG
rnacentral:rRNA from 1 species